rnacentral:rRNA from 1 species
GACGAACGCUGGCGGCGUGCCUGACACAUGCAAGUCGGACGGUUCUUGUAUCUUCAAGCUUGCUUGCAGGUGCAAGGAUAGUGGCGGACGGGUGAGUAACGCGUGAACAUCUACCCAUUGGAGGGGGACAACCCGUCGAAAGGCGGGCUAAUACCGCGUAAGCCGCGAGGUGAGAGGCUGCCUAUUGGUGGCCGCCGAUGGAUGGGUUCGCGUCCUAUCAGCUGGUUGGUGGGGUAACGGCCUACCAAGGCGAAGACGGGUAGCCGGUCUGAGAGGAUGGCCGGCCACACUGGAACUGAGACACGGUCCAGACUCCUACGGGAGGCAGCAGUGGGGAAUAUUGGGCAAUGGGCGCAAAGCCUGACCGAGCAACGCCGCGUGAGUGAUGAAGGUUUUCGGAUUGUAAAGCUCUGUCUUCCGGGACGAUAAUGACGGUACCGGAGGAGGAAGCCACGGCUAACUACGUG